rnacentral:rRNA from 1 species
UACGUGCGAAGCGCCGAAGCCGCGAGGCGACGGCGUUCUCGCCGGAUGUAGGAACCGACCCGGGGACCGCCGGGGCAACCCGGCGCCCCCGAGACGGGGCGAACCACGGUGAAAUGACGGAUCGUCGGCCCCGCGCCGGCGACUCGCCGAAUGAGUUUCUGACCUAUCAACUCGAGACGGCGGGGUAGAGGCCCGCCGCGGUAACGACGGGUAACGGGGAAUCAGGGUUCGAUUCCGGAGAGGGGAGCCCGAGAAACGGCUACCACUUCCAAGGAAGGCAGCAGGCGCGCAACUUACCCUAAUCUCGAUUCGAGGAGGUAGUGACAAGAAAUACCGAUGCGGGACCCUACGGGUGCCGCGUUCGGAAUGAGUACGAUUCGAACCACCUAACGAGGAACGAUCGGAGGGCAAGUCUGGUGCCAGCAGCCGCGGUAAUUCCAGCUCCAAUAGCGUACGUUAAAGUUGCUGCAGUUAAAAAGC